UACGUAGGGUGCGAGCGUUUGUCCGGAAUUAUUGGGCGUAAAGAGCUCGUAGGCGGUCUGUCGCGUCGAUCGUGAAAACUUGGGGCUUAACCCUGAGCUUGCGGUCGAUACGGGCAUGACUGGAGUUCGGCAGGGGAGACUGGAAUUCCUGGUGUAGCGGUGAAAUGCGCAGAUAAUCAAGAGGAACACCGGUGGCGAAAGGCGGGGU
rnacentral:rRNA from 1 species